GAACCGCAUGGCGUAGUGGUUAAAUGCUUGCAUUGCCACUCGCACGGUCAGGAGUUCGAGCCCCCUGUGGGUCA
rnacentral:tRNA from 1 species